CAAGUACACCACAGCAUCCACCUUUAUCACAUAUAACCAUGUUAUAUUGCAAUGUUGGAGCUAUUUAACUUGCGGGAAUGUAAUUCUAAACACAAAAUGUGCAACUACAGUAAAGAACAGAUAUAUCAAGAUUCAAAGCAUAAUUGACGGAUGCAUGGAAUAUGAAAAAUUUUGCAAUUCCAUUCCAGAUAUAAAACACCAUAAAUAAAGAGAUUGCAAAUUCAUUAACCAACUUCUGAUCAAUCAUUUUCAUAAAAGAAAAUAAUGUUCCCAAACAACCUAAUAUAAGAAAACAGGGCAAGAAAAAGUUGAAUGCCUCUGCCACAAUCACAGUGAUGAGGUCCAACCUUUGAUUUCCACAGCACUAUAACAAUAAGCGAGUCACAUAGUUGUUAGUUUCCCAACCUCAAAAGAGAAAUAGAAGAACCAAAGCGUCAAUAUAUGAGAAUUGCCAAGUGUAGCAAGGAAGAAAGCUUUCCGCUUCUAGUGAUGGGUCACAUUCACAGAGAAUUGCACUCACAAGCAUAUGCAAACUGAUACUUGAGUCUUCUUAUGUAAAAUUGGAAUACCAAGCCAUGUAAGUCAUUACGAAAGAAAAGUAGAAGAGGAAGGCAAUAUCAUGAGCAUGCAAAACAAUUACAAAAACUGAUAAUGAAAGUACAAGAAGGUCAAUCCCAUGAAAUCACCCAAAUUUGGCCAUUCACAUUACUAGCCAGUAGUCAUGCAUGACUAGUAAAAGGCAAAACGAUGCAAUCAACAAUAGGUGGCAGAUAGUGGCACAUCAACCUAAUCCUAAUCCUAAGUCACUUCAAAACAUACUUGUCAUUAACUGAAGCACUUCACAAGAAGCACAGCCUUAGUAAUGCGUUGUAAAUAGUUACCAACACUCAAAAAUGUUUGUCUGCAAUGCUCAAGCACACUUGACUACAAAUAUAAAGUGACUGAUUACCAAAACCUAUUGAAAAGCAUAAGAUGCACUCUACAGAAUGAUGUGGUUAUGAUAAAGGUUUUCAUAAUGAUGCAACAUCUCAAGAAGAAUUUGAGAAAAUAAGACCAAAUAUAGAACUAACAAGGUCAGAUAAACAGGAAUAUACACAUAAUACACAUGAUGUAAGUACCAAAUAUUAUUAAGAAAAAAAGGGAAUCAGCAUAUAUAAAAAGCCCAGAAUCAAUAAUCAAAAUAGAAAUGAAAUACAUAGUUAAAAUAAAGCAGAGUAAAUGUAAACAUAGCGCUGAAUAUACUAUGUAUAAUGGUUUAUCUAAUUCGUUGUGCAAACAAAGAUACUGAAACAUGGAGCUACAAAACAUAUACACAGAAUAUUUCUGAUUAAAUCUAAAGAGCAAAUCACAGGCACAAGUAGAAUUUGAUCUAUGGCCUCCAUGAACCAUGCCAGGCUACCUCACUGGUUAAGCCAGUUGGCACCCAGAGGAUUACAACUAAAAACAAUGGAAAAGCAUAAAAAACCUAUACUAUCGCACUUCAUAACAUGUACAGCAGCAAAACUGGCUAGCCGAUUAAGAAUAGCUUACCUUGGCAUAGUAAUCUUUCCAG
rnacentral:misc_RNA from 1 species